rnacentral:rRNA from 1 species
AACGAACGCUGGCGGCAUGGAUUAGGCAUGCAAGUCGAACGGUAGUAGCAAUACUACAGUGGCGCAAGGGUGAGGAACACGUGAGUAAUCUACCCUCAAGUUGGGAAUAGCUCCGGGAAACUGGAAUUAAUACCGAAUGUGAUCAAAUUUCCGCAUGGGAGAUUGAUUAAAGGCGAAAGUCGCUUGAGGAGGAGCUCGCGUCCCAUUAGUUAGUUGGCGGGGUAAUGGCCCACCAAGACAAAGAUGGGUAGCUGGUCUGAGAGGACGACCAGCCACACUGGGACUGAGAACUUCCCAGACUCCUACGGGAGGCUGCAGUCGAGAAUUUUGGGCAAUGGGCGAAAGCCUGACCCAGCAAUGCCGCGUGCGGGAUGAAGGUCUUCGGAUCGUAAACCGCUGUCACCCGGGACGAAAUAUGACGGUACCGGGGAGAAGCCACGGCUAACUACGUG